rnacentral:rRNA from 1 species
GAUGAACGCUGGCGGCGUGCCUAAUACAUGCAAGUCGAGCGAACAGACGAGGAGCUUGCUCCUCUGACGUUAGCGGCGGACGGGUGAGUAACACGUGGAUAACCUACCUAUAAGACUGGGAUAACUUCGGGAAACCGGAGCUAAUACCGGAUAAUAUAUUGAACCGCAUGGUUCAAUAGUGAAAGACGGUUUUGCUGUCACUUAUAGAUGGAUCCGCGCCGCAUUAGCUAGUUGGUAAGGUAACGGCUUACCAAGGCAACGAUGCGUAGCCGACCUGAGAGGGUGAUCAGCCACACUGGAACUGAGACACGGUCCAGACUCCUACGGGAGGCAGCAGUAGGGAAUCUUCGGCAAUGGGCGAAAGCCUGACGGAGCAACGCCGCGUGAGUGAUGAAGGUCUUCGGAUCGUAAAGCUCUGUUAUUAGGGAAGAACAAAUGUGUAAGUAACUAUGCACGUCUUGACGGUACCUAAUCAGAAAGCCACGGCUAACUACGUG